rnacentral:rRNA from 1 species
AUGGGGGGCCUGGAGGGGAACAAUGGGACUUGUCCGAACAAUGCCGCCUCAGCGCCGGUUGGAGGAGAUAUCUGGCGUGACAAUGGCGACGAUGGGUUGGCCGGCCAGCCGAUCGUGGCUCAUGCAGAUGUAGGCAACCGCAUCGGCGGACACGGGCGAAUGGCAAAGGCACAUGACGCAGCCGCUACCUUCCCUCCUUGGUGUCGGGAUGGUCGCCAGCUGCAUGCUUGGCCCAGAGGCGGAGCUCCUCCGCCCGAUUCCGCGUCGAGCCUGUGCUGCCGCUGGUUUGUGCUGUCGUGCUGGCUAGACCUUCCUGACGAUGUGAAAAGUUGUCUCCAUGACGUUUUUGCAGAAAACCCCUUCCCAAACUUCCGACACAACCUGCGCUCCUCGUUGUCUUCAAUCGACGCUUUGACACAGACGCAUGGACGCCGGAGCUUCCCUGCUCGGAUUCGUCGCGCUGCUUCCCUGCUCUCCCGCGUCGUAGCUCCCUUAGCUUCGCCGCGCUGCUCUCCCGCGCGUCCUCCUCCGUUGCUCCCUCUUGCCUUGCGCAGCUCCCCUGCCUCCCAAAUCUUCCCUCUUUCACACCCAAAAUCGUUUCUUCUUCCUCCUGCUUGCGUGCGGCGACGACACGUCCUCCUCGUUGCCCCCGACGCCGGAGGAGGCACGGGGCAAGCAGCAGCGGAGGAGAAAGGGGAUUCCGUUCGCCGCCAAGGCGCCCUGGGCAUGCUCCUCGAGUCCCUGCUCCUCGGGCCCCUCAUCACCUCCCUCCUCAAGAAGCAGAACAACAUGACGCAGGUCCUCUCCUCCCUUGAGACCAAGGGCAUCAACCUCCCCAACUUGAAUUUGUGUUGUUGUUACUUGACAUGUUUGUGUUCCUCAUUUGGAGUCAGGCUGUGGCAUGGGACACCUAUCCUUGUGGUCAUCAGCAUCCUGGCAUACUUCUGCUUCUUGGAGCAAUUGCUGGUUGCGCAUAACGGCUUCGCCGCCCUGGCGAUUUCGCUGCCCUUCUCAUGCAUCCUAGGCCUCUUCUCAUCACUGACCACAACAAGCAUGGCGCGUAUCUGCAGGGGCGAGGAUAUGUGGAUCUUCGCGGCGAUCCAGUUCCUCUUCGUCGUGUUCUUCACAACUCUGUUCUACAGAUAUCUGCAUCUGCAGGCUGUGAUUUCCAUCAUCCUGGCAACCUUACCAUGA